UACGUAGGGGGCGAGCGUUGUCCGGAUUUAUUGGGCGUAAAGAGCUCGUAGGCGGUCCGUCACGUCCGCUGUGAAAACCCAGGGCUCAACCCUGGGCUUGCAGUGGAUACGGGCAGACUAGAGGUAGGUAGGGGAGAAUGGAAUUCCCGGUGUAGCGGUGAAAUGCGCAGAUAUCGGGAGGAACACCGGUGGCGAAGGCGGUUCUCUGGGCCUUACCUGACGCUGAGGAGCGAAAGCGUGGGGAGCGAACAGG
rnacentral:rRNA from 1 species